CCCAGUUUUGUUUUUGUGCAGUUUAUAACAUGACUCAUUCACAAUAAUUAGACCACCGCUUCAACUCCUUCAUUACUAAAGAGCCCUGCAGAAAAUUAUAACGCCAACAAAUGGCAAAAUUGUCGGGAAAUUGGAAACCACGAAUCUUGUGGACAGGUUUCUAAGAGGGUUAAAUUGUCAUUAAUAAGUGGAUACAUAAUACAAUACAGGAACAAAUCAUCCCAAUGUACAGAUGUACAUAUGUACAUACGUGUGUGAUUAAAUUGUACAAAAAAUUCAUUUUAAAUUUACUCCGGUUUUUAUUGUACAUACGUAUGUACGAUCUACAAAAAUUACUUUUUGAUAAAUAAAUCCCAGCCUACGUAAAAUCAACUUGAAUAUAAUGGAUUAACAGUGGUCCUAAUUGUGCUCAAUAUUUUAGUAACGAUUGACCUUAAAAUGUGUGUUCACUUGAGGCUGUUUUACCUAAUCGAUCCCUGGGGUUUUUUGCGUAAUACGAAGUACGGCCCUUACGUAAGGGAGUCUUUGCUUCCCACUCCUCCGGCACGUCGUGUAACAUCUUGUCAACUAAAUUAUCCGAUGUGACCUGCCAGAUUUAUUGGGACCUAAACAUCCCUCCCUGGAUACAAAUAUGCACCCCGUCCGUAAUAAGUAUACAGACUUCAAAAUAAAGUAAAUGAUAAUGUAUCCAAAUUUCGUCGCCUCAUUCGCGAAACCACUACUUGUGGAUGCUUUUCUGUCAAGAUUUACUAAACCCGAGGCAUUUAAACUUUGUCAAGUUCUUGCAAAAAGUAACUCGUUAUCUUUUGUUUUUACCUAAAUAGAUUUAAUCAUCAUGAUAAUGCUAAUAAUACGUACGUUAGUGUGUACAUACAUUAGUAAGUAUUUUGCAAUACAAAAAUUAAGUUAGAUUUAUAUACAUAUGUACAUAUACAUACGUGCUACAUGUUAGUUCGAAUCGAAGUCUUGGAUUUUCAAUUGGUACAUAGAUUUGAUACAUUUAGUAAAUUAUAUUCAUUAAAUUCACGAAUGUCAUAUUCUUAAUGAUUAAUACAUAUUUGCUAUAAUAAUAAUGAAAUCAUAAAUUGCUUAUCUAUGUGGGACAAUUUUUUUAAACUUUGAUCCACAAAAUCAAUUUAACAAAAUUUAAAUAUAUGUUAAAAUUUGUACCACCAAAAUUAUACUGGGUCUUGGUCUUAAUAUAAAUAUUACAAAUACAUUCAUAAUAGCUCAAUUCAAAUAUUGUUCCUUUUUUCUUCUUUUCAGUACUCAACCAGACAAGAACGUCUCAGGAAAUAUGUAUAUGCCAGGCUACCUGACAAACGUGGAAUACUACAAAUUUCAUCGCUACAACUUUCUCCGAAACAUUAGUUCUAAUGGAGAAACAUAUCCCAAACUAAACACAUACGUAUUUGUCUUGCACACAACUGGGUAUGUAGUCUUCGUUCGACGUAUCGAAGUUAAUUAUUUGUUAUGUCUUAAAUUAAUCCAAACCUGAAUUAUUCUAUGAGUUAUUCUAUGAAUUAUUCUCCAUAACGAGAGGCCAAAUCACCAGAAGAGCCAAAUUGUGCUCGUAUACUAGAGAUAAACUCCCCCAGUCCUCCAACCGACUGCUCCAAGCCACAAACUCUGCCCAAAGGCAGCGAUGAACAGGGAGAGUCGCCCGCCGCCGUCAGCAACGUUGCCACCGAAAAGGUCGCUAAUAUAAGAAAACAAAAUAUUUCUUUAAAAGUUUACCAAUAACGUAUAUAAUAAUGCAUGCUAAUUGGAAGGCAGGAACUUAUUACUAUAUCCCCCCAUCGACUAAAAUUUUGCGAACGGUCCAAGGCAUAUAAUACCAAUUAAAAUGGUGAAUAUAAAUAUCCCAAGUUUACUUUACGUACAAAUCGUAUUCUUCGGGAUUUAUGACCAGACCACGACUUACGACUAUUAAUAUUUUGCGGAAUCGUGUUAAAAGACCUUCUGGCAUCCACACAAUUUCGGCAAAGCCAGACCUGCUUUCGUCACUGAGUAAUCUUCUUGUAGUAUUUCCGUCAUUCUUAUUUCCUCCUCUGGCUGAUAACCGCGGAGGCCAAAUUUGUUUAAAAUGUCAUGUUGGAUUUUAUUUUUAUUCGUUGCAAAAAUAUCCUUGUUCGUAAGCACAUUCCAUUUUCCUAGCCCCUUGAUAUUCCGGUAUUUAAUAUAUUGAGGAGCAUUUCUAACACUCUAAUCCACGCAAGCAAUGGGCUUCAGCCAUGCACUAGGGCUGCAGGAUUUAUCCUGUUCUCGAAGUUGGAGGUAUCAUUAAUUUUUGACGGGGUGACACCCCAAAUCCCACAGUGUUGAUGUGAUUUGGAUCUCAUUAAGAUUGAAAAAACUUUUCCAUCAAUUAUAGUAAGCCGGCAAGAGUGUUAGAUUUUUAUUUAUUUGGUUGCCUCCAUUGGUUAUUAGCCUUACAUUGACAACCUUUAUAAUUUCUGCUUCUAGUUCUGCUCCUGCUUCAUGUAUUAAGGCUGGAAUAUCGUUAGGAAACUGCAACCACACUGGCCCGCAGUAGCGGGUCGAGUUAGGCGUUGAAUUCUGCCAUAUUGGAAGACAUUCAGGCCCUUGCAACUCUAAUCGGAUCACAGUUGUUGCGAUAUGACCAUCCUCAUGCUCGUUGGUAGUAAAUCCUCACGAUGACACAAGUGUUAGUUCUAGCUCGUUUACACCCUCGGAUUGGCAAAUGAGGUCUAUAAAAUCUUCCUUAUCUCGAAUUAUUCUCACUGCUAUAUCGGUCUUGUAUAUCGGUCUGGAAUAUAUGAGUCGGCAGCCGGUUUCUGUUGAUUUGGGUUUAGGAUCUAGACGGCAUAAUUUCUUGGCUGAUUCUACUUGGUUGUAGGCCCACAAUCUUUCCGUUCCCGAAAACCCACGGGCAGUUGGAUACUGGGAGACAGAUAUAACAGCAUCUAACAGAAACUCCAGAGCUUCUUCCGGUUACCGCAUCCCGUGAAUGGGACAAACAUAGUUUCAGCAGCAAUGCAGUUUUCUGUACUAUACAUAUAAAUAUUUUCCUUUGUUCAAUCGGGAUUCCGUACAUUUUUUUGAUAGAAUCCUGAAUUUAGAUUUGCGGUGAGGAGGAUAUUAUUACAAGAAUGCAUCGCUAAUAUGCUAUACUUACGAAUUCAAGAAUUGAAGAAUAAUCAUGUUGCUCAAGGUACUUGCAAUUAUUGAUUAAAUUUUAAGUUAAGUUGGACAGCGUAUUGAUUUACUUGGUGAUUAAUACUUGAUGAGACAGAUUGCUUAACAUUCCAGUCUUCCUGCAACCAAGCGAGGUUCGCCAAAUACAGGUUAUUAAUGUUAUUACAGCUUUGCAAGCUCUGUUUAACUUGGGAAUUUCCAACUGUAGUUUCGGUUUGAUUCCUUCAUGAUUAAAAUAAAUUCACCACGAAAUAAAUAAGCAUUUAAAUAUAUACUCACAUCAUAUAAUAGUAUAGUAUAUAUUACAUUCCGAUAUACCUAAAGAUCAAUUAUAUCUCUAAAUAACUCUAGCCUCUUGUUGUAAAAGAGUGACAUUCAAAGUUUAAUGCAGAAUUGUUCAAAAAGAUGGGUGGUGUAAUUACGUUAUAUCAUGAUAAUAAAGAAACCAAAUCUGCAUCACCUCAUUCCUUUCCUACUUGUUUCAAUAGCUUGGUUUGUGUUGUCCCAAAAUUGGAUGCUUUGGACGAUGGCUAAGGGUACUGCUCCUCCAAUAUUGUUUAUGUUACGUUGAUUGAGGAUGAGAACAACUUACGACUUAGCCAGUACCAAACACUUAUGGACGGAUGCUUCAUGUUAGAUUUCGGGUACUCAUCUCUAUCAAGGUCUGCAUUCAGGUUGCCUAUGAUCUUUCAAUUCUCCUCCGUUCCACGACUUAAUGAGUUUCUCUAGGUAAUUUUGCCCAGAAUUCUGUAAGUAAAGGCAAGGUGCAAUAAAAAUGAUCUAUGUUAAGUCUAAGUUAUCUCCAAGACCACAACCUUUUAUAUAAUGUUUUUCCAUUAAUAAUAAUAUAAUACCAAUAUUAAUAAUAUUUGGGUAAAUGAAUUCAAGGUCCCAGACUCAUACGUAGGGAACUACCGGUAAUUCAUUCCUUGAGUUGGUCACCUGAUGUACCGUUGUACAGGCACCUACGUAAUCAUAAAGUGUUGGCUUGCCAACACUUUAUGAUUACUUUUACCUGUAUGAGCUCGGGGUGCAGUACAGUCAGUGAUGAGGUCACCAUUUUCACCUCCCUUUAGAAUCACAGUAACUGAAUCCUUGAAAUCUUCCGAAUACUUUUGAAAUUCCUUUGUCAUUCUUGUAGGAGCUUCUUCGCACUUUAGAAUAAUAGCUAGUUAGUCAGGAAUUUCGUCCAUGAAACGACUGACUACCUCGUGCUAUUGAUUUAUCUGUAGCACUACCUGAUAUCUUUUUCAUGCAUACGUAAUUGACACCAUUCAAGAGUUCGUUACCUGUUAAUGAAAGUUAAUAUAAGUUCAUAGCGAAAUUAAGUGGUUGCUAUGGAGAUUUUGAAGGAUUUUUUGUAGUUUAUAUUAAACUGAAAUGGUUGUUUGCUAUGCAAAAUUCUAAGGUGUUUUAAAAAUUAUACAUAAUAA